AAAGACUGUGUAGCAAACCCAGCCAUUCCAAGUGCCCGCUGUCCUUUCCUGGGGAAAGGAAAGAAAAAUCAAUGAAGCAAGCAGAGACAGGAAGACCAACCUAGGCUUCACUGUGAAUUCCAGACCAGCUUGGGAAGACUGUAAAACCUUGUCUCCAAAGAACAAAGAGAAACAAAGAACCAUAUAAAAUAAGCAAGGACAGUGGUAUGGAGAGAUCUGGCGAGGAUGUCCUGGGCUCUGCUCAGUCUCCUUCAUCAUGCUACCUGGCCACAAACACCAUGUAGAAACUACAGAUAAAUGGAUACAGUACAAUUUCCUGAAUUUAUGAGAUUGUGGAGAUGAAAAAAAAUUUAAUAUUUUGGAAUUUUUGCUCAAAAAUAAAACAAAACUUUCAAACUAUCAGAACUAUAGAACUGAGCCGGAUGUACAGGGGCAGGAGUCCCGAUGUGUUUUCCACUGCUGUGACAGAACCUGAGACUGGGAACUUACAAAGGA
rnacentral:lncRNA from 1 species